GACAGAGGCCCCAAGCGUUAGGCGGAAUCACUGGGCUUAAAGCGUGUGUAGGCGGACGCCUAAGUGCCUUGUGAAAUCCCACGGCUCACCCGUGGAACUGCUGGGCAUACUGGGCGUCUUGGGCCAACUAGGGGCAGCCGGAACAAGCGGUGGAGCGGUGAAAUGCGUAGAUAUCGCGUGGAACGCCGAAGGUGAAAACAGGCUGCUGGGGUUGCGCCGACGCUGAGACACGAAAGCCAGGGGAGCAAACGGG
rnacentral:rRNA from 1 species